GACGAACGCUGGCGGCGUGCUUAACACAUGCAAGUCGUACGGUAAGGCCCUUUCGGGGGUACACGAGUGGCGAACGGGUGAGUAACACGUGAGUAACCUGCCCACAACUUUGGGAUAACGCUAGGAAACUGGUGCUAAUACUGGAUAUGUGCUCCUGCUGCAUGGUUGGGGUUGGAAAGCUCCGGCGGUUGUGGAUGGACUCGCGGCCUAUCAGCUUGUUGGUGGGGUAGUGGCCUACCAAGGCGGCGACGGGUAGCCGGCCUGAGAGGGUGACCGGCCACAUUGGGACUGGGAUACGGCCCAGACUCCUACGGGAGGCAGCAGUGGGGAAUAUUGCACAAUGGGCGCAAGCCUGAUGCAGCAACGCCGCGUGCGGGAUGACGGCCUUCGGGUUGUAAACCGCUUUCAGCAGGGACGAAGCUUUUUGUGACGGUACCUGCAGAAGAAGCACCGGCUAACUACGUG
rnacentral:rRNA from 1 species